CUGCUCAUCAAAUAGGCACCCAUUUUGCUUAUGUACCUAUUCCAUUUUUUUACAAGAAUCUCUUCCUAUAGGGAAAUUUCCAAGAAAGAGGCUCUGGUUUCUCUAAUCAGCAAACCCACAAAGUCUGUCUGUCAUGUGGCUAAUAAAAAACUGAAUAAGCAUCCUCCGAGACCUUGGCACUGUUCACCAUCCUAAGGUUAUACACAGUUUAACUGCAGCUUUUUGCAUAAGAGCUUGAAAUACAGCAGGAAAAAUACCUUUAUCCCCACUGUUUUCUUUACAGUCAGUGACAGAAACAGGCACUGUAAGGAUGGGGUUCAUCUAAUCAAGUCCAUAGCACUGCAGGAGGAGAUAAACCACGCUGCAGGCUCCACUGACAAAGCUGAUUAGAUCUCUGUUGGCCCUAAAAGGGAGGCUCGUGAUCUGAAGACGUUUGUGUGUUAGCUACCAAUUCUCAGGCAUGAAUCCCUCCCUUAUUGUGGAGCUGAGGCUGUGGUUUCAUGAUCAGCAUCAGCAGCUGUGGGUUGCUGCCAGUUCUCUGUCGCACACUUUUCCCUGCCCUAAUCACAUGGCUCCAUGCGUCAGCUCCAGCAGUCCUGCAGCCUUGGUAAAUAGGAAUAAGUUGCUGAACUGGCUGAAAACUAAUGCUGAAGAUGAAGAAUUUGGUUUUGUUUGCACUGCCAGGCAGAGCCGAUGCCCCUCAUAGCGUAUGUCCUAACUCCUAGCUCUAAGGUCUGCUUGGGGACAGGAAUGUCAUUUCUGAAGAGGAAAAGUGAACUGCCCUUUUUCGGAACUGGGUUUUACUUGGACCAGCUUAAGUUGACCACAAAACAGCCUCUGUGGAAGGCAGUUCUGAAAAUGAACAGAUUUACUUGCAGAGUGUAAAGUUAACAUGUUUAUGGUU